UACAGAGGGGGCAAGCGUUAUUCGGAAUUAUUGGGCGUAAAGGGCGCGUAGGCGGCUUGGCAAGUGGAAGGUGAAAUCCCUCGGCUUAACCGAGGAACUGCCCUCCAAACUGCUUUGCUUGAGGCCGGGAGAGGUGAGUGGAAUUCCCAGUGUAGCGGUGAAAUGCGUAGAUAUUGGGAGGAACACCAGUGGCGAAGGCGGCUCAAUGGACCGGUUCUGACGCUGAGGCGCGAAAGCGUGGGGAGCAAACGGG
rnacentral:rRNA from 1 species